UAUAUAAUAUCACACAUUUUUUAUUUAAAAGAAGGAGAUUUUCAUAAGGGAAGAAUGUAGCACGAAAAAGACGAAAACGUUUAAAGUUAGUACAAUAAUUUGUUUAGACAUAUUUUGUCCUCAGAGGUGAUAAUCCAAUUACCAAUAACGAAUGCUGGGUCUCAAGAUGGAUGAUGGUGUUGAUAGUAGUACGUUCAGUAGACCGAUUAUGUUGACCAGCCAGCACUUCAUCUAAAUGGAUAUGGAGAAAACCUUUUUCCGGGAAGCGGGCCUGAGAGUAGUCGAUUCGAAAAAUAUUUAUUUACAGUUUGAUUUACAUUUGGUAAAAUACUAUUUGACAUUUUUUCUCUCAGAAAGUGUGCCUGGAAAGAUCUAAUGAAUAAAUCGCAUCUGUACAUUGACAACUUUUUGCUCAAAUUACCAUUGGGAAGGCAUUUAUUCCUGGAAAUUGGACCAAUGUAGUUAUAAUUAGAUUUGCUCCAAAUUCGCAUGUUUGAAUGAAUACUGGUGAACCUUUGAUUAGGUCAAAAUCAAAACCCGAGAAAUGAAAACAAGUUAUUAAAUUUUAAUUAUGUAGAAGUA